rnacentral:rRNA from 1 species
GGGGAAUAUUGGACAAUGGGCGAAAGCCUGAUCCAGCAACGCCGCGUGAGGGAUGACUGCCUUCGGGUUGUAAACCUCUUUCAGUACCGACGAAGCGCAAGUGACGGUAGGUACAGAAGAAGCACCGGCCAACUACGUGCCAGCAGCCGCGGUAAUACGUAGGGUGCGAGCGUUGUCCGGAAUUAUUGGGCGUAAAGGGCUCGUAGGCGGUUUGUCGCGUCGGGAGUGAAAACUCAGGGCUUAACUCUGAGCUUGCUUCCGAUACGGGCAGACUAGAGGUAUGCAGGGGAGAACGGAAUUCCUGGUGUAGCGGUGAAAUGCGCAGAUAUCAGGAGGAACACCGGUGGCGAAGGCGGUUCUCUGGGCAUUACCUGACGCUGAGGAGCGAAAGUGUGGGGAGCGAAC